ACGCGUCCUGGAACACAUUUCGCGCGCGUUCUUUUUCUAGUUUCAUUUUCUUUCUCUGUCGCCUCGAGCACUGUUUCACGCUUCGUCUCUCUCUCUCACUCUCUCUCUCUCUCUCUCUCUCUCUCUUUCUCUCUCUCUCUUUAUUUCUUUCUUUAUUAUCAAUUUUCUAAUUUUUCUUUCUGUUAUCUUCCGAUUCGUGAAGACACGUGAAAUAAGUGAGAUAUGUUAAUUUUUUAAUUAUUAAAUUUUUUUGAACCUGGUCUUAUUUGGGGCUCCUUGGAAAUACACAAAAUUUGUUGCUAACUAUUCCUCACGACGAAGUUUUGCCUUAUUGAUAUGAAAAAUCUUAAACGAAAUCUUUCUCAAAGAAAGUGAAGUUGAAGUUUCACCCCUGUGCCGUUGUGUUCGAUUAUUUUUGGGAGUUAUAUAUUUAUGUUUAUAUAAAACAAUAUAAAGGUAGAUAGAUAUCAUGCAACCGAGUGAAAAGAUCUUUAGAACAACGAGGACAACGAUUCGUAUCAUGCUGUUAGCAGAGUUCGGUGUACUCGUUAUAUUUUCAUAUUUAGAUCUUAAUAUGUCCAUUUUCUAUCAGUGAAUAACUGAUCGCUUUCAGUAAAGAAAAAAAUGAUCUCAUUACGGAUAUAUGUGAGAGAGAAAGAGAGAAAGUGGAAGCGAAUUUAGUUUGCGUGAAAGCUUCAGUCCCAAUAGGGUAAAGUUCAAAGGAGAUAGUCUCUCGAUGGAGAAAGCUCACGUUAUUCUCUCUCCCUUUCUCUCUCUCCCUCUCUCUCUCUCUUUUCCGCUCUUUCUCUUCGUCUAUUUCUAUCUUUCUUUGUCGAUUUCCACAGUCAUUUUAGAUAUAGACUUUUUUGAAAGUAGGAUAAAAUCAAUUUUC